GUGGAUUAGUGGCGAACGGGUGAGUAACACGUGGGCAAUCUGCCCUUCACUCUGGGACAAGCCCUGGAAACGGGGUCUAAUACCGGAUAACACCGGCUUCCGCAUGGGAGCUGGUUGAAAGCUCCGGCGGGAAGGUAAGCCCGCGGCCUAUCAGCUUGUUGGUGGGGUAAUGGCCUACCAAGGGCGACGACGGGUAGCCGGCCUGAGAGGGCGACCGGCCACACUGGGACUGAGACACGGCCCAGACUCCUACGGGAGGCAGCAGUGGGGAAUAUUGCACAAUGGGCGAAAGCCUGAUGCAGCGACGCCGCGUGAGGGAUGACGGCCUUCGGGUUGUAAACCUCUUUCAGCAGGGAAGAAGCGAAAGUGACGGUACCUGCAGAAGAAGCGCCGGCUAACUACGUGCCAGCAGCCGCGGUAAUACGUAGGGCGCAAGCGUUGUCCGGAAUUAUUGGGCGUAAAGAGCUCGUAGGCGGCUUGUCACGUCGGGUGUGAAAGCCCGGGGCUUAACCCCGGGUCUGCAUCCGAUACGGGCAGGCUAGAGUGUGGUAGGGGAGAUCGGAAUUCCUGGUGUAGCGGUGAAAUGCGCAGAUA
rnacentral:rRNA from 1 species